rnacentral:lncRNA from 1 species
GUAGGCGCAGACUUGUCGUGGUGGUCCCCGUAUAGGGAUGGUGAGAGCCUUCCUUGGGUCUUCACUGCCGAAUGAUGUGCUGCUGUGGGUUGGAGUGCUCCAUGGAACAAGCAAAGGACCUUGUGAUAAAAUAAGGUAGAUAGUGUGCAAUAGGGGCAAGACAAUAAUUAAAACUAUAUUAAAGUAACCCUAACAUUGGAUUAGGAUUAUUUGAUAUCAUAGUGUUAAGGCCACAAGCAAUGUUUGGCAGCUUAAAUCUAAUAAUGAAGCAGGAAUCUAGGAUAUCAUGUGGGAACCAUUGCAUAGAAUACUGUAGAUUUAGUUAUGGUGACUUUAGACUGGAAUAUGAUCCUUGUAAUUUAUUUGAUUAGUUAAGAUUACUUUUGGUUUUGGAAGCUUAAUGAUCUCUACGAAUCUCAAAUUUAGAGUAAACAAGUCUGAUUUGGUUCGACAAUUGAAGCACCAAUCAUUUCCCCUAUCUCUCUCGUGUGGCGAAUCAUCUUAUUCAUGUGACUGUUCUUAAUUUGAUAUUCAAGUCCAUGCCAUUGUUCAAUUGAUGAUCAUGAUACUUUUGUUAAAAUAGGUACCAGGAAGCAUUUCAAUUUGAUUUGAAGAUAUAAAUUGAAGCCAUAAUAUUUAGUUUAAAUGACUUUUUUACACAUUAUAAAGUAGCAUAUCCCAACAUUCUUUAUUAAACUUUGAUCUUUAAGACUACCCUACAUUAGGUGAACUAACAUGAGCUGCUUAAUUAAUUUCAUACAAAGAGCAUAAUGAUUCCUCAUAUAACAAGGUAGAUGGGAUUAAAUGGAAGAAAAUGAGGCAUCCGUAUACUAUAUUUUGGAACCCAUCUAGCUGAAAGAGGGAGACUUAUAACAUUGCUUCCUAGCAUAUAAUUUUUGCAAUGGAAUAAAGUUAUACAAUAGUGGUACUGGCACGAUGCAUGGAGAG